rnacentral:rRNA from 1 species
UACGUAGGGUGCAAGCGUUAAUCGGAAUUACUGGGCGUAAAGCGUGCGCAGGCGGAUCAUCAAGUCGGGGGUGAAAUCCCGGGGCUCAACCCCGGAAUGGCCUUCGAGACUGGUGGUCUUGAGUUCGAGAGAGGUGAGUGGAAUUCCGAGUGUAGAGGUGAAAUUCGUAGAUAUUCGGAAGAACACCAGUGGCGAAGGCGACUGACUGGACAAGUAUUGACGCUGAGGUGCGAAAGCGUGGGGAGCAAACAGG